rnacentral:rRNA from 1 species
UACGAAGGGUGCAAGCGUUACUCGGGAUUACUGGGCGUAAAGCGUGCGUAGGUGGUUUGUUAAGUCUGAUGUGAAAGCCCUGGGCUCAACCUGGGAACUGCAUUGGAAACUGGCUUACUAGAGUGCGGUAGAGGGUGGCGGAAUUCCCGGUGUAGCAGUGAAAUGCGUAGAUAUCGGGAGGAACAUCCGUGGCGAAGGCGGCCACCUGGACCAGCACUGACACUGAGGCACGAAAGCGUGGGGAGCAAACAGG